GAAUGAACGCUGGCGGCGUGGUUAAGACAUGCAAGUCAAACGGCUCUCAUCAAAGGGCAACCUAGGAUAAAAGCAGUGGCAAACGGGUGCGUAACACGUGAACAAUUUACCUCAAAGAGGGGAAUAGCUCGUCGAAAGACGAAUUAAUACCGCAUUUUGGUGGUCUUUUCGCAUGAAAGGCCAACUAAAGUUGGGGGACUUCAAAGCCUGGCGCUUAGAGAGAAGUUCGCGGCCUAUCAGCUAGUUGGCGGGGUAACCGGCCCACCAAGGCGAAGACGGGUAGCUGGUCUGAGAGGAUGAUCAGCCACACUGGAACUGAGAUACGGUCCAG
rnacentral:rRNA from 1 species